CCUCAUGGAUCUGGGAGCGCGACAACAGGUGGACGUGGGUGUCGAAGGCGCCGGCCGUGAGGAUCUUUCCCUCUCCCGCAAUGACAUCCGUGGAGGGACCGAUGAUGAGUGCGGGAUGGACACCAUCGGCGAUGUCGGGAUUGCCGGAGCGGCCGAGGGCGACGAUGCGUCCGUCACGGAUGCCGACAUCCGCGCGGACGAUGCCCCAAUGGUCCAAGACGAUGGCAUUGGUGAUGACGGUGUCCAGGGCACCGUCAUCGCGGGAACGGGUGGACUGGGCCAUCGAUUCGCGG
rnacentral:sRNA from 1 species